UACGUAGGCAGCAAGCGUUGUUCGGAAUUACUGGGCGUAAAGAGUGUGUAGGUGGUGUCGUAAGUUUGGUGUGAAAUCUCCCGGCUUAACUGGGAGGGUGCGCCGAAGACUGCGAUGCUGGAGUAUGGGAGAGGAAAGCGGAAUUCCUGGUGUAGCGGUGAAAUGCGUAGAUAUCGGGAGGAACACCAGUGGCGAAGGCGACUUCCUGGCCUGUUCUUGACGCUGAGGCGCGAAAGCUAGGGUAGCAAACGGG
rnacentral:rRNA from 1 species